rnacentral:ncRNA from 1 species
AAGCUGCGCGCCGCUUCAGGUGUCCUGGUGAGCCAUGCGACCGGGAUUAAACGGGAAGCCGGUGCGUUCCCCUCUCCGCACGCUUGAGAUGAGGAGAGUAGGAACAAUGCCGGCGCUGCCCCCGCAACGGUAAGCGAGUCAAGGAGCAGCACGAUGCCACUGCGUUUUGUAACGUGGGAAGGCGCUGUUCCAGGGUCAACCCCGCUCGCGAGCCCGGAGACCGGCCUGAAGCCAAGUCGGCAUC